rfam:Magnaporthe oryzae 70-15 chromosome 6, whole genome shotgun sequence.
GGCACAGUCGGUUAGUGGUUAUUCCGUUGGCCUGCUAUAACAUCUGCUAUAUAUCAUAGCCAAUGCCUUCGGGCGCAUGAGUUCGAAUCUCAUCUGUGUCG